UGUUUUGUGAAGCUGUUGUUUCUGUCACAUGUGUGUGCCUGCUGGUAGAAAUGUGUUUCUGGCUCUGGGUAGCAGUCAGCACACCGAAAGCUACUGUUUAGCCCACCCCUCUCAUGUACUGAUGAGGAAAUCAGUAUUCGGAAAUUUGACCGAAGAUCCCAGACCCGAUUUUUGGCAACCCCGGCGCUCAGGUCUCCUGACCCUCACGCUUCCCUGGGCGACCCCUCCUCCCUUCCUUCGCCUUUCUUCCUGGUCCUUAUUUCCCACCUGGCAGGUUGUACUUCCAAAACAAAACAAAAACCCCAAACAGUUCUCAUCUGUUCGCCAAGAAAUCAGCCAUUCUUAUUUUAGGAUUCCAGAAGCACCUCAGCCAAGUGAGCAAAGAGCAAGUUCCCCGGGGAGGCUGGCGCUGCGUGUCAGGAGACCACGUAUGGAGCAGCACUCGUUCAAGGAAGGAGAGACGAGGCAACGAGGAUAUUUUCUACUGGAAAUGGAGUCCUUUGUUUAAAAGUCACAUGAAAUGAUUGAAGGUAUUGAAUAACAAUGAUUGUUAAGGUCCUGUAUAUUCUUCUGGGUACAUAAAAAGAAACUGAGAGACUCCUGGCCAGCCCAUUUGGAUGGAUCUAGUUCAUAAGUAAGUGAGUCUGUAAGUUUCUGUAUUUUUAAUUUGUAGCUUGAGAAAAACAUACAUGCCUUCUUGUUCUUAUACUCAUCUGCCCCAUGGGGUGCAAUAUUUAGAAAUCUGGGAGUUCCUUCCCCCCCCCCUCUCUUGGGGACUUUGCCAUUGGCCCUUGGAGGAACUGGAUUGGCUUUGUUGAGUAACAGCACAGAGAAACCCAUGUGGUGUUGAGGAGAGCCUUUGAUCUCCAGAAGACUUGAAAACUCAAGCCUGGAGGUCUUGGCAUCUAUCCCAGAGAUCAAACACAUAUGUUGGCACCUGCAGGGAAAAGGGAAAUUAACUAGCCAUUUUUGAAUCCGGAGCCUAUGACAGAAACUCCAUAAGCAAUGGCAGAACCUACUGAAGGCCACAGGCCCAUCAGAAGCUAUGCAUAGCCACUCCAGGGAUCUCUCUACCAACCAUUUGGGUAAGCAGACCACACACAGGGAUCAGACCACUUCACCUAUGAACAACUGUGAAUAAGUCCAAAUACCAAGACUAGCCUGAACCAUAUUAAACUAACAGUUGGAUAUUAUCAAUUUCGUAUGGUCCAACUUUAUAUCUCUUAAAUAGGCAAAUGAGGAUCCGAAAACGUCAGUAAUCUUUCAAAAUAGAUAAAUGACCCUUAUUUCUCCCUCUCGGGUUCAAGGAAUUUGUCUUGUUUCUCUCCCUCAGGUUGAUUUGCUAAGGAGGCAGUCAGAAGUGAGAGGAGAAGAGAGAAAAAAGUUAAAGCAGGCAACUGAUUCUAGAGGGGUCACAUUAGAGGACAAGGGUCUUGGGCCCCAGUGCUGGCUGGCAUGGUUCAGAGGCUCACCAGCAGAUUUCAACUCCCUCCAAGUGUACUGGAGUCCCUGUCUAAUCACACUUGGGGCUGGGAAACAGAAAGUGUCACCUCUUACUAAGUUCAAGGUAUUGUGCAGAUGUACUUUAAGGAGAAAAAGAAAUCAUUGGUGCCCUUGGGAAUUUCUUUUUUUUUUUUUUUUUUUUUAAAGAUUUUAUUUAUUUAUUUGACAGAAAGAGAUUACAAGUAGGCAGAGAGGCAGGCAGAGACCGAUUGAUCGAUGCUCUUCUUGCUUUCANNNNNNNNNNNNNNNNNNNNNNNNNNNNNNNNNNNNNNNNNNNNNNNNNNNNNNNNNNNNNNNNCCCCAUUAGAUUAGAUGAUGAUCCCACGUGGGAUCAGGUGUGUAUCGUAGAGAGGCACUGAGUGCGAUACAGGUUCAACAGGUGCGCUCUGUGGUGCGAGAGGGGGAAGAGGCACGAAGUGAGAGGAGGGCUGAUGGAUAGGGUUAGCAGCCAGGUUAGAAAACACUGGAAGAGAACCACGUACAAUUUCCAUUUUGAGGGAAAAAGGAUGUGACUACUGGCAGUUCCUAUGAGGCAAGCCAAUAUGAAGGCUGGAAAGAGUCAGUGUGGUGUGAGUCCCAGGAGCAGCUCUCUGCAGCCAGGCCAGGAGCUGUGUGAAGCAGCGGAGGGCAGGUUAGGGGCCAUCAAGGGGGGAGACACCACCACUCAGUGAGCAUGUGUGUGAACUGGGCACUUGCUUAGGCUCUUGGUAGAGGUAAUCUCAUUUGGUUCCCCCAAUAAACCCAGGAAGCACAUUUGAUUAUCUGCAAUUUACUGAAUAGGUGCAGAGAGAUUACGGAACAUGCCCAAGGGCCCAAAGUUUAUAAAGUCCCAAGACCUAGGACUUGGCAGUGAGUACAUCUGAUUCCACAGCCCCGCACUACUUCCUGCCUCACUAUCCUACUUUCUAACUCACAUUGCUGCUCCGCACAGGAGCAGACAUCCACGUGGGAAAACUAUGGUCACCCCCAAAAGGGAGACUGAAGUCAUUCAGUGGAACGCCCUGGUGGCCAGGAUGAGGGACCUGCUAUAUGACCAGAAGUAUCUUAGUUGCCCCCAAAGCAGAGCUUAGCACAACCUGUUUGAAGAUAGAGAUGGGCUUUAUUGUGUAUUUUUCGCAUCCUCUAACUAAGCACCGGUCUAGCACACUGACCUGUGUGUUACAGGAGCUCAGCUAUGUGGGUUGAAUGGAUGUGGCUCAACUGUACAAAUGGCUCAAUCUAUACAUCUUGGGGCCUCUUCUGUCUCCUUUUAAUCAGUCUCCUUUCGUUCCCUGAUCUCUCUCCUCCCAGAUAAAUUCUAUUCGAUAUCCAGCCCAAGUCGUAUCUCCUCCAUGAAGCUAUUCAAGACCCCCAUGGCCCAGUUGGUUCAUUCAUUCAGAGCAGUGAGUGAUUAAAGACCUCCCACGUGCCAGGCACUGUGUUAGGCCCUGGGAUACAGUGGUGGACCUUAGAGACACGAUCCUUGUCCUUGUGGAACUUAUAUCUAGGUAGGAAGAAUGCCAGGAAGUAAGUACAUUAAUAAGGAAGGAUGUAAUCAGAUAGUAAUAAGCACCUCAAUAAGAUAAAAUGGGGAUGUGGGAGAAAGCAAGGCUAGCGGAAAGCAUGGCAUGGAGGAAAUGACAGUGGAUAUCCUCAACCAGGCAUCAGAGACACGGAGGUAAGGGAGCCAGAGGGUCACUGACCAUAUAGAACUGACCCUUAGUGGAUGACCUCUUCCUCUAGCUCAGCAUGGCAACCUAGUCUAGCUGAUUAUCAAAGUCAUUUCCUCUUCUUCCUGGGCACAAAACUAGACUGUAUUUCCUAGACUCUCUUGCAGUGAGGUGUGGCCAAGUGUGGAGGUCUAGCAGUAGAAUGUGGGCAGAAGUCACUUGCCCCACUUCCAGCAGAGCCCCGAAAACCUCCCACACAUUAUCCUUCAUGUUCUUGAGACCUUCGAAGCCACAUACUAAAGAUUAGCUAGACUCAUAAGACAGAAGGGAGCAUGGAUCCUUGAAUUCUAGCAAGAAGAGGAGAUAGGCACCAAUGAAGACAAACCAACUUCAGUUAUUACGCGAGUUAUGAAUAGUCCUGAAUUUUAUUAAGCCACUGAAAUACUGAGGGUUACUUGUUAUAGCAAGUUUGCAGUACUCUGAUUCACUGAAGUCACUGUCUCAUCGCUGUGGCUACUCAUUUAGCCCUUUCUUGGCUUAGGACAUGGUCCCUAUUGUAUUACCAUUUACCUUCAUUCUUUCUGUUCACUUUUCCUUUCUGUAGGUCCCAUUCCCCUCAACUCAUAU
rnacentral:lncRNA from 1 species